UACGUAGGGUGCGAGCGUUAAUCGGAAUUACUGGGCGUAAAGCGUGCGCAGGCGGUUUGUAAGCCGGAUGUGAAAUCCCCGGGCUUAACCUGGGAAUGGCAUUCGGGACUGCAAGGGCUGGAGUGCGGCAGAGGAGACUGGAAUUCCUGGUGUAGCAGUGAAAUGCGUAGAUAUCAGGAGGAACACCGAUGGCGAAGGCAGGUCUCUGGGCUGACACUGACGCUCAUGCACGAAAGCGUGGGGAGCAAACAGG
rnacentral:rRNA from 1 species